rnacentral:ncRNA from 1 species
CUGCGCCAAGGGGAUGGAGUUCCCCGCAAACCGCCGCCUCGGCUGAUAACUCCUACCGGUUG